rnacentral:rRNA from 1 species
UACGUAGGUGGCAAGCGUUGUCCGGAAUACUGGGCGUAAAGCGUGCGCAGGCGGUUUUGUAAGUCAGAUGUGAAAUCCCCGGGCUCAACCUGGGAACUGCGUUUGAAACUACAAGGCUAGAGUGUAGCAGAGGGGGGUAGAAUUCCACGUGUAGCGGUGAAAUGCGUAGAUAUCUGGAGGAACACCGGUGGCGAAGGCGGCAUCCUGGACCGAUACUGACGCUGAGGAGCGAAAGCCAGGGGAGCAAACGGG